AGUCGAACGAGGUGCUUUUUGGUAGCAAUACGAGAAGUAUCCUAGUGGCGAACGGGUGAGUAACGCGUGGAUGACCUGCCCCAAAGUGUGGGAUAACAGUCCGAAAGGAUUGCUAAUACCUCAUGUGGUUAUUGGGUUUAGAAACUGAUAACUAAAGCAGCAAUGCGCUUUGGGAGGGAUCUGCGUCCCAUCAGCUAGUUGGUGAGGUAAUGGCUCACCAAGGCGACGACGGGUAGGGGACCUGAGAGGGUGGCCCCCCACAAUGGAACUGAAACACGGUCCAUACACCUACGGGUGGCAGCAGUAGGGAAUAUUGCACAAUGGGCGAAAGCCUGAUGCAGCAACGCCGCGUGAGCGAUGAAGGCCUUCGGGUCGUAAAGCUCUUUUCUGAGAGACGAGAUAGGACGGUAUCUCAGGAAUAAGUCUCGGCUAACUACGUGCCAGCAGCCGCGGUAAAACGUAGGAGGCGAGCGUUAUCCGGAUUCACUGGGCGUAAAGCGCGUGCAGGCGGUUCGGUAAGUUGGGCGUGAAAUCUCUUGGCUUAACUAGGAGAGGUCGUUCAAUACUACCGGACUUGAGAGUGAUAGAGGAAAAUGGAAUUCCAGGUGUAGUGGUGAAAUGCGUAGAUAUCUGGAGGAACACCAGUGGCGAAAGCGAUUUUCUGGAUCAUUUCUGACGCUCAGACGCGAAAGCUAGGGUA
rnacentral:rRNA from 1 species